rnacentral:misc_RNA from 1 species
GAUGAAGAACGUAGCGAAAUGCGAUAAGUAAUGUGAAUUGCAGAAUUCAGUGAAUCAUCGAAUCUUUGAACGCACAUUGCGCCCCUUGGUAUUCCGAGGGGCAUGCCUGUUCGAGCGUCAUUAUAACCCCUCAAGCUCAGCUUGGUGUUGGGGCCUGCUGCACUGGCAGCCCCUAAAAUCAGUGGCGGCGCCAUCUGGCUCUAAGCGUAGUAAUUCUUCUCGCUAUGGAGUCCUGGUGGAUGCUUGCCAUCAACCCCCAAUUUUUCUAUGGUUGACCUCGGAUCAGGUAGGGAUACCCGCUGAACUUAAGCAUAUCAAUAAGCGGAGGA